GAUGAAGAACGAGCGAAAUGCGAUAAGUAAUGUGAAUUGCAGAAUUCAGUGAAUCAUCGAAUCUUUGAACGCACAUUGCGCCCGUCAGUAUUCUGGCGGGCAUGCCUGUUCGAGCGUCAUUACGCCCCUCAAGUCCCCUGUGGACUUGGUGUUGGGGAUCGGCGAGGCUGGUUUUCCAGCACAGCCGUCCCUUAAAUUAAUUGGCGGUCUCGCCGUGGCCCUCCUCUGCGCAGUAGUAAAACACUCGCAACAGGAGCCCGGCGCGGUCCACUGCCGUAAAACCCCCCAACUUUUUAUAGUUGACCUCGAAUCAGGUAGGACUACCCGCUGAACUUAAGCAUAUCAAUAAGCGGAGGA
rnacentral:misc_RNA from 1 species